rnacentral:rRNA from 1 species
GAGUUUGAUCCUGGCUCAGGACGAACGCUGGCGGCGUGCCUAAUACAUGCAAGUCGAGCGCGGGAAGCAGACGGAAUCCUUCGGGAGGAAGACUGUGGAACGAGCGGCGGAUGGGUGAGUAACACGUAGGCAACCUGCCUUUAACCCGGGAAUAACGUGCCGAAAGGUGCGCUAAUGCCCGAUGAUUCGCGCGCUCUGCAUGGAGCGUGUGUUAAAGCCUUUCGGGGUGGUUGGAGAUGGGCCUGCGUGCCAUUAGCUAGUUGGUGGGGUAACGGCCUACCAAGGCGAUGAUAGCUAGGGGGUCUGAGAGGAUGAUCCCCCACACUGGGACUGAGACACGGCCCAGACUCCUACGGGAGGCAGCAGUGAGGAAUCUUGCGCAAUGGGCGAAAGCCUGACGCAGCCACGCCGCGUGCCGGAAGACGGCCCUAUGGGUUGUAAACGGCUUUUGACGGGGAAGAACGACCGGGUUUUGAUCUGGUGUGACGGUACCCGUUGAAUCAGCACCGGCUAACUCCGUGCCAGCAGCCGCGGUAAUACGGAGGGUGCAAGCGUUGUCCGGAAUCAUUGGGUGUAAAGGGUGCGUAGGCGGGAGCCUAAGUCUGAGGUGAAAUCUUACCGCUUAACGGUGAAAUGGCCUUGGAUACUGGGUUUCUUGAGUGUAGAAGAAGUAGGCGGAAUUCAUAGUGUAGCGGUGAAAUGCAUAGAUAUUAUGAAAAAACACCAGUUGCGAAGGCCGGCCCUACUGGGCUACUACUGACGCUGAAGCACGAAAACGUGGGGAGCGAACAGGAUUAGAUACCCUGGUAGUCCACGCCGUAAACGAUGCAUACUAGGCGUUUGGCCCCUUGGGGCCGGUGCUGCAGUUAACGCAUUAAGUAUGCCACCUGGGGAGUACGUCGGCAACGAUGAAACUCAAAGGAAUUGACGGGGGCCCGCACAAGCGGUGGAGCAUGUGGCUUAAUUCGAUGCAACGCGAGGAACCUUACCUGGGCUAAAUUCUCGGUGCAACCUCUGGAAACAGGGGGUCCCUUCGGGGCGCCGAGGAAGGUGCUGCAUGGCUGUCGUCAGCUCGUGCCGUGAGGUGUUGCCUUAAGUGGCGCAACGAGCGCAACCCCUGUGGUCAGUUACCAGCACGUCAUGGUGGGGACUCUGGCCAGACUGCCUACGCAAGUAGUGAGGAAGGUGGGGACGACGUCAAGUCAUCAUGGCCCUUACGUCCAGGGCUGCACACGUGCUACAAUGGAUGAUACAGAAGGCUGCCACCCGGCGACGGGGCGCAAAUCCUUAAAGUCAUUCUCAGUUCGGAUUGGAGUCUGCAACUCGACUCCAUGAAGUUGGAAUCGCUAGUAAUCGCGUAUCAGCAAUGGCGCGGUGAAUACGUUCCCGGGCCUUGUACACACCGCCCGUCAAGCGAUGGAAGUCGGGAGUACCUAAUGUCGGUGGGCCAAUCCGCUUCGGUGGAGGGCAGCUGCCUAGGGUAAGCCUGGCAACUGGCGCUAAGUCGUAACAAGGUA